GACGAACCGUGCGAACGUUGUUCGGAAUCACUGGGCUUAAAGGGCGCGUAGGCGCCACGUCAGUCUCGGGUGAAAUCUUUCGGCCCAACCGGAAACGUGCCUGGGAUACUGCGUGGCUAGAGGGAGGUAGGGGCGGACGGAACUUCCGGUGGAGCGGUGAAAUGCGUUGAUAUCGGAAGGAACGCCGGUGGCGAAAGCGGUCCGCUGGACCUCUACUGACGCUGAGGCGCGAAAGCCAGGGGAGCAAACGGG
rnacentral:rRNA from 1 species